rnacentral:rRNA from 1 species
AGAGCGAACGUUAGCGGCGGGCUUAACACAUGCAAGUCGAGCGGUAAGGCUCCUUCGGGAGUACACGAGCGGCGAACGGGUGAGUAACACGUGAGCAAUCUGCCCUUCACUUCGGGAUAACGUCCGGGAAACCGGUGCUAAUACCGAAUACGACCACUUCAGGCA